rnacentral:rRNA from 1 species
UAAUACGGAGGGUGCGAGCGUUGUCCGGAAUCACUGGGCGUAAAGGGCGCGUAGGUGGCCGAGCAAGGUUGCGGUGAAAGCCCGGGGCUCAACCCCGGGUCGGCCGUGGCAACUACUCGGCUUGAGCACUGUAGGGGCGGGUGGAAUUCCGGGUGUAGCGGUGGAAUGCGUAGAGAUCCGGAAGAACACCGGUGGCGAAGGCGGCCCGCUGGGCAGGAAGG